rnacentral:rRNA from 1 species
GACGAACGCUGGCGGCAUGCCUAAUACAUGCAAGUCGAGCGAACAGAUGAAGUGCUUGCACUUCUGACGUUAGCGGCGAACGGGUGAGUAACACGUAAGGAAUCUACCUAUAAGCGGGGGAUAACAUUCGGAAACGGGUGCUAAUACCGCAUAAUAUCUUCUUCCGCAUGGAAGAAGAUUGAAAGACGGCUCUGCUGUCACUUAUAGAUGACCUUGCGGUGCGUUAGUUAGUUGGUGGGGUAACGGCCUACCAAGACGAUGAUGCAUAGCCGACCUGAGAGGGUGAUCGGCCACAUUGGGACUGAGACACGGCCCAAACUCCUACGGGAGGCAGCAGUAGGGAAUCUUCCGCAAUGGGCGAAAGCCUGACGGAGCAAUGCCGCGUGAGUGAAGAAGGCCUUCGGGUCGUAAAACUCUGUUAUAAGAGAAGAACAAAUUGUAGAGUAACUACUACAGUCUUGACGGUAUCUUAUCAGAAAGCCACGGCUAACUACGUGCCAGCCGCCGCCGUAA